CACACCUCCAGCUCACAUUUGCAUCAACGCUUGAGUAUGCAGUGAGAAUGAUGGAGUGUAGAGUUGAUACAAAAAGGAAUAGAAGUAACUCUGGAAGUGUCACUGAUUCGCAGACUGCCACUGAACCAGGGAAAUGGAUUCUACUGGUCGGCAUCAGUUUUGGUCUUCUGUGCAUCAUACAAGCUUCUCUCAAUGUCUAUUUUCGUCUCUACCAUCCUCCAAACAUCGACAAGAGCACAUAUGACAAUGUAACUGCUGAGAUGGACGCGCUUGGGAAACUUCUUCAAACUCGUCGCCAAGACCUGUCGAAGCAAAAAGAUGAGCUGCAGAAAAGCCAUUCUUCCCAGGAAACCUGUGAGCAAACCCUGACCCAGGAAAGAGAGAAGUUGAAGAAGACUCUUUCCAUCCUUGAAGCCAGGGAACUUGAAAUCACUGAAGAAAGAGACAAGCUGAAGCUAAAACUGCAAGCCAUAGGUGAGUAGAGCCUGCUCUAGUGAAUGUAGGAGGCUACCACCAAAACAGAAUAAAAUGUGAAUUUACAGUAAGCAAGAGUGUGUUCACACUUAUCCUG
ensembl:lncRNA